GGGUUGUGAGGUUAAGCGACUAAGCGUACACGGUGGAUGCCCUGGCAGUCAGAGGCGAUGAAGGACGUGCUAAUCUGCGAAAAGCGUCGGUAAGGUGAUAUGAACCGUUAUAGCCGGCGAUGUCCGAAUGGGGAAACCCAGUGCAAUUCGUUGCACUAUCGUUAACUGAAUACAUAGGUUAACGAGGCGAACCGGGGGAACUGAAACAUCUAAGUACCCCGAGGAAAAGAAAUCAACCGAGAUUCCCCCAGUAGCGGCGAGCGAACGGGGAGCAGCCCAG
rnacentral:rRNA from 2 species